UUGUGGGGCUAGGUUACAACUUCAGAGGGCUAGGUUACAGUCUUUGUGGGGCUAGGUUACUGUCUUUGUGGGACUAGGUUACUGUCUUUGUGGGGCUAGGUUACUGUCUUUGUGGGGCUAGGUUACUGUCUUUGUGGGGCUAGGUUAGUAUUUUUGUGGGGCUAGGUUACAACUUCAGAGGGCUAGGUUACUGUCUUUCUGGGGCUAGGUUAGUAUUUUUGUGGGGCUAGGUUAGUAUUUUUGUGGGGCUAGGUUACAACUUCAGAGGGCUAGGUUACUGUCUUUGUGGGGCUAGGUUAGUAUUUUUGUGGGGCUAGGUUAGUAUUUUUGUGGGGCUAGGUUACAACUUCAGAGGGCUAGGUUACUGUCUUUGUGGGGCUAGGUUAGUAUUUUUGUGGGGCUAGGUUACAACUUCAGAGGGCUAGGUUACUGUCUUUGUGGGGCUAGGUUAGUAUUUUUGUGGGGCUAGGUUACAACUUCAGAGGGCUAGGUUACUGUCUUUGUGGGGCUAGGUUAGUAUUUUUGUGGGGCUAGGUUACAACUUCAGAGGGCUAGGUUACUGUCAUUGUUGGGCUAGGUUACAACUUCCGAGGGCUAGGUUACUGUCAUUGUGGGGCUAGGUUAGUAUUUUUGUGGGGCUAGGUUACAACUUCCGAGGGCUAGGUUACUGUCAUUGUGGGGCUAGGUUAGUAUUUUUGUGGGGCUAGGUUACAACUUCAGAGGGCUAGGUUACUGUCUUUGUGGGGCUAGGUUAGUAUUUUUGUGGGGCUAGGUUACAACUUCAGAGGGCUAGGUUACUGUCUUCGUGAGGUACGGUAGGUUAGUAUUUUGGUGGGACUAGAUUACUCUUUUCAUUGGGCUAGAUUACUAUCCCAUAGGUUCCACUGGGCAGUCAGAAUCUUAAUGUUUUCUAAGGCAAUCCAAUCACUUAAAAUGACCCCUUUAAAAACGAUCCCAGGCCAUAACAAAGGUGGCGAAGUGGUAACCUAGAUAGCGGGGUGGGCGUUCCGGGAGGGGGCGGCCACGGGGGCGUAGUACCAAGCACCACGGGGGAGCUUAGGGCAUGGAGGGGAGGAAGGGGGGAGAGAGGGGGAGUAAAAAGAAACAAGUGUAACAGUGGAAACAAUAACAGAAGGGCAGAUAACGAAAAUGGAAAAAAAAAGAAAAAAACACCAGACAGCUCAAGUGAAAACAAAAGAAAAUAGAAUAGCAAGUCUGAGGAAGCAAAGUGUACAGAUAAAACAGAGCUCAGGGCAGGGUGAAGUAUAUAUAAGUGUGCGUAGUGAAGUAAAUAAGUGAGCAUUGUGAAGUAUUCAAGUAUGAAGAAGUACCAAGGAGGACCUAAGAAGCGAUACAAAGCACAACAACUCAAAAGGAGAAGAAGGAGGAGAAGAAGAAGGAGCAGAAGGA